ensembl:lncRNA
GUUCAUUGACCUGGCUACCCUUCAUUAUUCAUGGCAGAGCAGAUGACAAAGGCUGCUUAAUGACACACACACACACACACACACACACACACACACACACAGGACAGGCAGACACACAGGACAGGCAGACACACACACAGGACAGGCAGACACACACACACACACAGGACAGGCAGACACACAGACACAGGACAGGCAGACACACACACAGGACAGGCAGACACACACACAGGACAGGCAGACACACACACACACACACACACACACACACACACACACACACAGGACAGGCAGACACACACAUACACACACACAGGACAGGCAGACACACACACACACACAGGACAGGCAGACACACACAGGACAGGCAGACACACACACACACACGACAGGCAGACACACACACACACACACACACACAGGACAGGACAGGCAGACACACACACACACACACAGGACAGGCAGACACACACAGGACAGGCAGACACACACACACAGGACAGGCAGACACACACAGGACAGGCAGACAGGCAUGCCUAACUAGGUGAGAGAAGACCAGGGCAGAUUUUAAGAAGAGGUGACUGGAGGACAGAGACAGAAGGUGUCAUUGUCUCAUCACCACCUCAGGUAACACAAUAAGCCUUUUCUAGCCGUGUGUGUGUCUUAGUGUUAGCGUGUGUGUGUGUGUAUCUUAGUGUUAGCGUGUGUGUGUGUGUGUCAGUGUGUGUGUGUCUUAGUGUCAGCGUGUGUGUGUGUGUCUUAGUGUCAGCGUGUGUGUGUGUAUCUUAGUGUCAGUGUGUGUGAACUGGUGGGUGGAAAGGUGAGGGACUGAGGCAGUAAUCCUGUCACAGGAGACGUAACACCCAGUACACACACACACACACAUACACAUAACACCCUGUACACACACACACACACACACACACACACACACACACACACACACACACACACACACACACCACCCCAUUAGCUGACCAGCUCACAUAACCCUCACAUCUCUCAGUGCAGACCACCUGCGGUGUCAGAGGAAGGCCCUAAGAAUUGUCAGACUCCAGCAACCCUAGUCAUAGACUGUUUUCUCUGCUACCACACGGCAAGCGGUACACUGGAGUACCCAGUCUAGGUCCAAGAGGAGUACCCAGUCUAGGUCCAAGAGGAGUACCAAGUCUAGGUCCAAGAGGAGUACCAAGUCUAGGUCCAAGAGGAGUACCAAGUCUAGGUCCAAGAGGAGUACCCAGUCUAGGUCCAAGAGGAGUACCCAGUCUAGGUCCAAGAGGAGUACCCAGUCUAGGUCCAAGAGGAGUACCAAGUCUAGGUCCAAGAGGAGUACCCAGUCUAGGUCCAAGAGGAGUACCCAGUCUAGGUCCAAGAGGAGUACCCAGUCUAGGUCCAAGAGGAGUACCCAGUCUAGGUCCAAGAGGAGUACCCAGUCUAGGUCCAAGAGGCUUCUAAACAGCUUCUACCCCCAAGCCAGGAGACUCCUGAACAGCUGAUCAAAGGGCUACCCAGACCCCUCUAUUACACUGCUGCUACUCUGUUUAUUAUCUAUGCAUAGUCACUUUACCUCUAACUACAUGUACAUAUUACCUUUAAUUACCUCGACUAACCGGUGCCCCCGCACAUUGACU